AAGUCGUAACAAGGUAACCGUAGGUGAACCUGCGGUUGGAUCAUUAAAAAAAAUUGAAGCUUCAACCCUUUCAAGGGUAGAAGCGUCAGUGCUCCUCUAACAAGGAGCUUGACUACUCCAAUUUUGUGAACUUGCAACCAAAAAAUGUUUUGAUAGUGGUGAAAGAUUUGGGCAUUACCAGCCCAAGUUUUUCCCUUCUUGAAAAAAUUGUUAACCCUGAAGAAAUAACUUGUCUUUACCGUUUUUUAUAAAUAAAAAUUAAUAAACAACUUUUGACAACGGAUCUCUUGGUUCUC
rnacentral:misc_RNA from 1 species